GACGAACGCUGGCGGCGUGCUUAACACAUGCAAGUCGAACGGAAAGGCCCUGCUUUUGUGGGGUGCUCGAGUGGCGAACGGGUGAGUAACACGUGAGUAACCUGCCCUUGACUUUGGGAUAACUUCAGGAAACUGGGGCUAAUACCGGAUAGGAGCUCCUGCUGCAUGGUGGGGGUUGGAAAGUUUCGGCGGUUGGGGAUGGACUCGCGGCUUAUCAGCUUGUUGGUGGGGUAGUGGCUUACCAAGGCUUUGACGGGUAGCCGGCCUGAGAGGGUGACCGGCCACAUUGGGACUGAGAGAGGGCCCAGACGCCUACGGGAGGCAGCAGUGGGGAAUAUUGCACAAUGGGCGGAAGCCUGAGGCAGCAACGCCGCGUGCGGGAUGACGGCCUUCGGGUUGUAAACCGCUUUCGCCUGUGACGAAGCGUGAGUGACGGUAAUGGGUAAAGAAGCACCGGCUAACUACGUG
rnacentral:rRNA from 1 species